AUUGAACGCUGGCGGCAGGCCUAACACAUGCAAGUCGAGCGGAUGAAGGGAGCUUGCUCCUGGAUUCAGCGGCGGACGGGUGAGUAAUGCCUAGGAAUCUGCCUGGUAGUGGGGGAUAACGUCCGGAAACGGGCGCUAAUACCGCAUACGUCCUGAGGGAGAAAGUGGGGGAUCUUCGGACCUCACGCUAUCAGAUGAGCCUAGGUCGGAUUAGCUGGUUGGUGGGGUAAAGGCCUACCAAGGCGACGAUCCGUAACUGGUCUGAGAGGAUGAUCAGUCACGCUGGAACUGAGACACGGUCCAGACUCCUACGGGAGGCAGCAGUGGGGAAUAUUGGACAAUGGGCGAAAGCCUGAUCCAGCCAUGCCGCGUGUGUGAAGAAGGUCUUCGGAUUGUAAAGCACUUUAAGUUGGGAGGAAGGGCAGUAAGUUAAUACCUUGCUGUUUUGACGUUACCAACAGAAUAAGCACCGGCUAACUUCGUG
rnacentral:rRNA from 1 species